UGGCUCAGAACGAACGCUGGCGGCAGGCUUAACACAUGCAAGUCGAACGCUGUAGCAAUACAGAGUGGCAGACGGGUGAGUAACGGCGUGGGAACGUGCCCUUCGGUUCGGAAUAACUCAGGGAAACUUGAGCUAAUACCGGAUACGUGCGAGAGCAGAAAGAUUUAUCGCUGAAGGAUCGGCCCGCGUCCGAUUAGCUAGUUGGUGGGGUAAUGGCCCACCAAGGCGACGAUCGGUAGCUGGUCUGAGAGGAUGAUCAGCCACACUGGGACUGAGACACGGCCCAGACUCCUACGGGAGGCAGCAGUGGGGAAUAUUGGACAAUGGGCGAAAGCCUGAUCCCAGCCAUGCCGCGUGAGUGAUGAAGGCCCUAGGGUUGUAAAGCUCUUUCGCCAGGGACGAUAAUGACGGUACCUGGAUAAGAAGCCCCGGCUAACUUCGUGCCAGCCGCGGC
rnacentral:rRNA from 1 species